rnacentral:rRNA from 1 species
CUGAGGGUAGGGGUGAAAGGCUAAUCAAACUUGGAGAUAGCUCGUACUCCCCGAAAUGCAUUUAGGUGCAGCCUGUGGAGUUUCUUACGUGAGGUAGAGCGACUGAUUGGAUGCGAGGCUUUCACCGGCUAUCAAGUCCAGACAAACUCCGAAUGCACGUUAAGUAAGAUCCACGGAGUGAGGGCAUGGGUGCUAAGGUCCAUGUCCGAGAGGAGAAGAAUCCAGACCAUCGGCUAAGGUCCCGAAAUAAUAGCUAAGUUGACCAAACGAAGUCAGAGUGCGAAGACAGCUAGGAUGUUGGCUUGGAAGCAGCCAUUCAUUUAAAGAGUGCGUAACAGCUCACUAGUCGAGUGCUUUGGCGUGGAUAAUAAUCGGGCAUAAGCUAUUUACCGAAGCUGUGGGAUGUGUAAACAUCGGUAGGGGAGCAUUCUAGCGGCGCUGAAGGUGAGAGGACAACUCUUGCUGGAGCUUCUAGAAAAGCAAAUGUAGGUAUAAGUAACGAUAAAGGAGGUGAGAAACCUCCUCGCCGAAAGACUAAGGUUUCCUGAUCAACGCUAAUCGGAUCAGGGUUAGUCGGGGCCUAAGGGGAAGCCGAACGGCGUACCCGAUGGAAGAACCGGUUAAUAUUCCGGUACUAAUUAUGUGAGCGAUGUGGAGACGGAGAUGUGACGGUCCUGCCAACUGACGGAAUAGUUGGUUGAAGGGUGUAGGAGUUGAUCUGAGUAGGCAAAUCCGCUCGGAGAUCCGAACCUGACAGUACUCUGAGUGCUUGCACAAGGAGAUAUGGACAACUGUAACGGUGCUCCCAAGAAAAUCCGCUAAGCAUAUUGCAUGAUUACCCGUACCAUAAACCGACACAGGUGGUUGGGUUGAGUAUACUAAGGCGCUCGAGUGAUUCGCGGUUAAGGAACUAGGCAAAAUAGUCCUGUAACUUCGGAAUAAAGGACGCUCACAGUGAAGGCUGUGAGCCGCAGAGAAUAGGCCCAGGCGACUGUUUAACAAAAACACAUGGCUAUGCUAAAUCGAAAGAUACUGUAUAUAGCCUGACACCUGCCCGGUGCUGGAAGGUUAAGAGGAGAUGUCAUCGCAAGAGAAGCAUUGAAUUGAAGCCCCAGUAAACGGCGGCCGUAACUAUAACGGUCCUAAGGUAGCGAAAUUCCUUGUCGGGUAAGUUCCGACCUGCACGAAUGGUGUAACGAUCUGGGCACUGUCUCAACCGCGAGCUCGGUGAAAUUGUAGUAUCGGUGAAGAUGCCGAUUACCCGCAACGGGACGAAAAGACCCCGUGAACCUUUACUAUAGCUUUGCAUUGGAUUUGGGUAACAAAUGUGUAGGAUAGGCCGGAGACUAUGAAGCGGGUACGCCAGUAUUCGUGGAGUCGCCGUUGAAAUACGGCCCUUUUGUUAUUUGGGUUCUAACUCGCGGAUGCGAGGACAUUGCAUGGUGGGUAGUUUGACUGGGGUGGUCGCCUCCAAAAGUGUAACGGAGGCUUCUAAAGGU